AGAAAGCUGUCUAGUUCUAGACUUAACCAGAUUGUGUCUAUGAACAAGUGCUUUUUUGGUCAUUCUCUCAGGGCCCCUGUCCCCUCCCUCAAGGAGGAUUUAGCAAGUGCAGCUUUGUGAGUGUGCGAGGGAGAGUGUCUGCGCACUCUCACAGCCGGGUGGGCCGGCUGAGGGUCACGGGUCACUGGCCCGCCCAACUUCCAUCAAGGAGAACAAAGCCUCCGCCGGCCCAAUGAAAGAGCAGGUUGGGACUGGGCUCAAGUCCAAGGUUCCCGGCCCACAUCGGGGGCUUACCAGGGGCUGAAAUACGUAAAGAAAUAAAUAAUCAAAUAAUAAUCAGAUCCUCAGCCGUCUGGAAACCUGGUCAUGUGGGAACGCUCAACAUGCCCAUAAUCAGUUCCUCUCAUGAAGCCUGAAGAUACACCCCCUUUUCACAUCAGUCCCUUUUUCUCUGUCACUUUGAAGUCUGCUUGCUUUUGUUCUUUGCAUAACUCGAUCAGAUUUUUUUGAAAAAGCUAAUUUGUAUGCCUUUCCAGUGACAUAGCUGCCACCCAGAAUUCUUCACAAGGAGGUGGCAGAGAGGUCAAAUCAAACAGACAUCUGAAAAAGAGGCCCAGGAGGAAAUGGCAUUUAGAAGCUCAAACAGGAUGUCCCGCUGCUCGUCCUGACUGUGAACCCCCACCCAACACUGUGAAAUGGCUUAAGUUAAUCCAAGAUCCUGAAAGUAGUGCAUUUUUUUCCCACCCCCUUGUUCUUCAUCAUUUAGAAGGCUUCAGGAAAAGAAGAGGGGGACACAAUGAUUUCCUUCUGGUGUGUCUCAAACACAGACAGACUACCUGCUGUGUGAGACUAUCUCCAAGUGUGUCCUCCGUAAACGUGAACAGUGUUUAUGUCCAGCGUUUGAUGAGGUGGACUUGAUGGAGCCUGUUGAAAAAACAAACAAAAAAACUUCUCAUAUCAAAUGAAAACUAUCUGAGAUCAUAAUGUAAUGGACAUAAAUUAUAAUAGAAUUAGGUGAACUAAUUUUAUUCAACAGGAAAAUGAUUUUGACCUAAAAAGGCUUUCAAAGAGUGAAUAACUUUGCUGUGUGUUAACAGAUGGUGCCAAAAGAAAAGCUGUCUGUCUCAAAA